rnacentral:rRNA from 1 species
UGNNGCAGCACGCCGCGUGAGGGANGAAGGCCUUCGGGUUGUAAACCUCUUUUAGCAGGGAAGAAGCGAAAGUGACGGUACCUGCAGAAAAAGCACCGGCUAACUACGUGCCAGCAGCCGCGGUAAUACGUAGGGUGCAAGCGUUGUCCGGAAUUAUUGGGCGUAAAGAGCUCGUAGGCGGUUUGUCACGUCUGCUGUGAAAUUUCGAGGCUCAACCUCGAACUUGCAGUGGGUACGGGCAGGCUAGAGUGCGGUAGGGGAGAUGGGAAUUCCUGGUGUAGCGGUGGAAUGCGCAGAUAUCAGGAGGAACACCAAUGGCGAAGGCACAUCUCUGGGCCGUAACUGACGCUGAGGAGCGAAAGCNUGGGGAGCAAACAGGAUUAGAUACCCUGGUAGUCCAUGCCGUAAACGGUGGGUGCUAGCUGUGGGCCACAUUCCACGUGGUCCGUGACGAAGUUAACACAUUAAGCCCCCCGCCUGGGGAGUACGGA